AAAAAAACGAAAAAAAAAGAGGACCAAACAGGCCGCCAGCUGGGCCGUUCUGCGGGAAUAGAGAAGUGAAGCGAAGAAGCGAUUUGGAGCUCUUUCAUUAAGCUGGUAAACGAGAUUCCGAGGAAUCAGCGAAAUCCUGACUGCAGAAGGGCUGCGAACGGAGGUAGAACAAUUGCUUCAAUACUGUUUUUCUUGUUACUAUCGCUUUCAUUGAUCUCCCUUGCUUACAGGCCUCGAGACAUCGUUCCCAUGAGCGAGAUGGGUCAAUACCACGCUGUCAGUACUCUAUUUCCCUUCACAUUCUCUUUCUCUAUGUUCUAACAUCUCAUAUUCACGCUCCCAUAAUUCGGCUCUAGUGAUUUAUUUCAAUUCAUGUCGCUAAGGUUCUAUUUGAUAUAUGAUUUCAGUCGAGAACUCUCUGGCAAGACGUGAUCGGUAAACAUUGCCCUGUAUUUGCUGUUAAUCGCGAGGUAUCUCUAUUUCAAUUUCUCAAUUAUCCUUUCAUCUCUAUUUUUUUCUUUUGGGCCGGAGUGGGGGUUGCUGGGUGUUUUGAAUUGUGUUCAUUUUUUGGGUGUAUGAUGUGUAGGUGUUGAUCCCGAUACCAAAACCGGCAGAUUAUACGGGUACUGAUCCAGACAAAAUGUAAAAAAUAUGUUCCUUUGAUGUUAUUAUUUAGAAAUUCUGACUUUGAAAUAUCGUUUGUUGGUAAUUUUGGUAAGCAAGAACCCUGUUGAUAUCAUCGAAAUUAGUUCCACUGUGUUUUAACUUUUAAAUCUAUAUUAUAACUUAGCUCAAUUCAACAAGUAAGCUUGUUAUCAAAUGAAUUACUUUGGAUGUGAAUCUAUUGGGGGAAAUUAUUUGUUGGUGCAGCUUUAUAGUUUGAUAUGGAACUUCAAAAUUAAAAAAACUAUGUUUUCACUUUUCUAAUGCUUGCAUUCUCAUCUGAAUCUCUAUUUUCAUUUUCAGAUGAUAGGUGUAAGGCUUAUGUUAACUGUAUGUUUUAAAAUUUGAUGUUUGCUUUUGGAUUAGGUUGCCCUUCAAUUUCAAUUUGUUAUUAGUUGGGGAUUUAAAUGGUAAACUACUUUUUCACAUUUUUAUUUGUUAAUUUGUAAAGCAAUCCAUUUUCUCAAAAUCAUUUUUAUUUGCAGAUAGUUUCAAGUUGGAAGAGAAAAGUUUCUAAUUUCAUGGCUGUUUUUGAUAAACCACAAAAAUUCUGAGGUUCCGUUGAUUGAUGUGCAUUUGGUAAGGUUUGCAUUUUCUUGAUGCAGUUGUUCUUUUUCAAAUUUAUCAUGAUUGCUGGAUCUUCUUGGGUCAUGCAACUGUGUAGAAUUACAUGCUUCUACAAAGUGCAAUUUUAUUGUUUUGGUCAUUUUUACCUCACCGUCAUCAGUGCAUUUGUAGGACACUAGGUUGUAUUUUGAUAUUUUUUAAUUAACUUUUAUUUUCUCGUGUGUAAUUAAGACUUAUGUAAUGCA
rnacentral:misc_RNA from 1 species